rnacentral:ribozyme from 1 species
GAGAGCACAGUACGAUGAAAGUUGUAAGCUGUGUUCGGGGGGGAGUUAUUGUCUAUCGUUGGCCUCUAUGGUAGAACCCGUCGGGGAGGCCUGAGA